rnacentral:rRNA from 1 species
GAUGAACGCUGGCGGCAUGCCUAACACAUGCAAGUCGAGCGAGCGGCGGACGGGUGAAUAAGGUCUUGGAAACUCCCUGAUGGAGGGGGAUAACGACUGGAACCGGUAGCUAAUACCGCUUACCAUCAGAUGUGCCCAGGGGGAAUUAGCUAGUAGGUGGGGUAACGGCUCACCAAGGCGUCGAUCCAUAGCAGGUCUGAGAGGCUGACCAGCCACACUGGAACUGAGACACGGUCCAGACUCCUACGGGAGGCAGCAGUGGGGAAUAUUGGGCAAUGGGCGAAAGCCUGAUGCAGCCAUGCCGCGUGUGUGAAGAAGGCCUUCGGGUUGUAAAGUACUUUCAGCGGGGAGGCGUUACCUAACGAAGAAGCCCCGGCUAACUCCGUGCCAGCCGCCGCGGUAAUAC